rnacentral:rRNA from 1 species
UACGAAGGGGGCUAGCGUUGCUCGGAAUCACUGGGCGUAAAGCGCACGUAGGCGGCUUUCUAAGUCAGGGGUGAAAUCCUGGAGCUCAACUCCAGAACUGCCUUUGAUACUGGAGAGCUUGAGUCCGGAAGAGGUGAGUGGAACUCCGAGUGUAGAGGUGAAAUUCGUAGAUAUUCGGAAGAACACCAGUGGCGAAGGCGGCUCACUGGCCCGGUACUGACGCUGAGGUGCGAAAGCGUGGGGGAGCAAACAGG